AACACGUAUCCAACCUGCCCUUUACUCGGGGAUAGCCUUUCGAAAGAAAGAUUAAUACCCGAUGGGAUAAUCAUUCCGCAUGGUUUGAUUAUUAAAGGAUUCCGGUAAAGGAUGGGGAUGCGUUCCAUUAGGUUGUUGGUGAGGUAACGGCCCACCAAGCCUUCGAUGGAUAGGGGUUCUGAGAGGAAGGUCCCCCACAUUGGAACUGAGACACGGUCCAAACUCCUACGGGAGGCAGCAGUGAGGAAUAUUGGUCAAUGGGCGCGAGCCUGAACCAGCCAAGUAGCGUGAAGGAUGACUGCCCUAUGGGUUGUAAACUUCUUUUAUAUUAGAAUAAAGUGCAGUAUGUAUACUGUUUUGUAUGUAUAAUAUGAAUAAGGAUCGGCUAACUCCGUGCCAGCAGCCGCGGUAAUACGGAGGAUCCGAGCGUUAUCCGGAUUUAUUGGGUUUAAAGGGAGCGUAGGUGGACUGGUAAGUCAGUUGUGAAAGUUUGCGGCUCAACCGUAAAAUUGCAGUUGAUACUGUCAGUCUUGAGUACAGUAGAGGUGGGCGGAAUUCGUGGUGUAGCGGUGAAAUGCUUAGAUAUCACGAAGAACUCCGAUUGCGAAGGCAGCUCACUGGACUGCAACUGACACUGAUGCUCGAAAGUGUGGGUAUCAAACAGGAUUAGAUACCCUGGUAGUCCACACAGUAAACGAUGAAUACUCGCUGUUUGCGAUAUACAGUAAGCGGCCAAGCGAAAGCAUUAAGUAUUCCACCUGGGGAGUACGCCGGCAACGGUGAAACUCAAAGGAAUUGACGGGGGCCCGCACAAGCGGAGGAACAUGUGGUUUAAUUCGAUGAUACGCGAGGAAACCUUACCCGGGCUUUAAAUUUGCAGUGGAAUGAUGUGGAAACAUGUCAGUGAGCAAUCACCACUGUGAAGUGCUGCAUGGUUGUCGUCAGCU
rnacentral:rRNA from 1 species